UCGGGACAGCGUGGACGUGUCUCUGGGCGGCCUGUUUUAUUUUGCGAAUCUGUGUGGGUUUUUAAAUUCUGUUGCCCCGUAAAAUACCUAUGUUUCUUUUUAACAUCUAAUGCUUCUCCCCGGAAAAUCAUCAAGCGAAAUUUAGGCUCCAUGCAGAUAUGUCACUUGGUUUCCCCCCUGUAACUUCGGUAUCCCCCACACUCCGCUUAUUGUGUUAGAAGCCAGCAGCACUGGCACCUUGCAGCCGCUCCAGAUCCACCUCGUUUGGCUCCUCCACUCGUUCCCUUUACAACUCUUUUCCGUAGAGCAUUACUGUGGCGGACAGAGCACCUGUGGGAGGUGCAGGCGAUGGCGAGCUUAGCGGGGUGCGGCCUGCGCCCUAGCGCUUUGCCGGCUGCUGGAGGGACGCAGCGCUGAGGUCACCACAGCCUUUAGACUGUCUGCAGCCCUCCCAGGUAUUCGCCGGGGCGGAGGUUAUGGGGAUUCUUACAUUGAUCCCGUCCUCAACCUGUUUCCCAAGACGUAAUCUGUAAUAGAGGGUGUGAGGUGUUUUUAAACAUGACAUUUUUCAAGGUAACAAUAAUGUCCCAAAAGCCGAAACCUAAACUUGAAAAGCGUGUUAAGAUUAGGAACUGUGGGCCGGGCACAGUGGCUCACGCCUGUAAUCCCA